rnacentral:rRNA from 1 species
UGCAAUAGAGCAGGUAUCAGGCCCAACACUGUUAGCCCACCACACCUCGCCAAGCCACAUCCUCACGGAUCAUACAGCAGUGACCAACAUUAGGCAAUAAGCACAUCAAGCUUGACCUAGCCAAACCACCCCAGGCCGGCAAAUCUCGUGCCAGCAGCCGCGGUUACACGGGAGGCCAAAAAUAAUUCACCAACGGCGUAAAGAGUGACCACAGAUUCCUACCUCCAUCGGAUUCUAAAAUUUUACCUUAGAGAUGAAAUCCCAAGACACCAAGAUCUCCAAAGCAUCCACAAACAGGCCAUCCAACUCACGAAAAUCGGGGCACA